UGAGGAAUAUUGGACAAUGGGCGCAAGCCUGAUCCAGCCAUGCCGCGUGCAGGAUGACGGUCCUAUGGAUUGUAAACUGCUUUUGUACAGGAAGAAACACUCGGACGUGUCCGAGCUUGACGGUACUGUAAGAAUAAGGAUCGGCUAACUCCGUGCCAGCAGCCGCGGUAAUACGGAGGAUCCAAGCGUUAUCCGGAAUCAUUGGGUUUAAAGGGUCCGUAGGCGGUUUAGUAAGUCAGUGGUGAAAGCCCAUCGCUCAACGGUGGAACGGCCAUUGAUACUGCUAGACUUGAAUUAUUAGGAAGUAACUAGAAUAUGUAGUGUAGCGGUGAAAUGCUUAGAGAUUACAUGGAAUACCAAUUGCGAAGGCAGGUUACUACUAAUGGAUUGACGCUGAUGGACGAAAGCGUGGGGAGCGAACAGG
rnacentral:rRNA from 1 species